GGGGGGGGGCGGGCGCUGCCGGAGCCUUUCCAGGUCACGUCCUUCUCCUCGUGAAAUAUUGAUGGCCCCCGGCACCGCUGCUAUUCCUGGGCGGCCGCGGGGCGCACAGCUGCACCCGGGCGGUGUUGCAGCGUGACACGGUGCGCGUGUGCACACCCGCAGCAUGGCCGCCCGUGCCCGUGUGCCCCCCCGGCCUCCCGCGCGGGCUCCGUCUGCCCUCCGCCUGCGGUUGUCCCGGGGCGGGUGUCGCUGGGGCGUCCCUCGCCCUCCCCGGCCGAGUGUUUGCAGCUGUGGGUGUAGCUCUGCCUCUGGGGUGUCUCUGUGCGGGUGUCCCCGGUGUGAGCGUGUGUGUGCGCCUCUGGGCUGUCCCUGCAGGUGUCCCUGGGCGGUGUCUCUCUCUGGCUAUCCCUGCGACUGUCCCCGUAGGUGUACCCAGGAGGCGUCUCUCUCCGGCUGUCCCUGAGACUGUCCCCGUAGGUGUACCCAGGGGGCGUCUCUCUCUGGCUGUCCCUGUGACUGUCCCUGCAGGUGUACCCAGGGGGCAUCUCUCUCCAGCUGUCCCUGCGACUGUCCCCGCAGGUGUCCCCAGGGAAUGUCUCUCUCCGGCUGUCCCUGUGACUGUCCUCACAGGUGUCCCCCGGGGUCUCUCUCCAGCUGUCCCUGCGGGCAACCUCGCAGGUGUCCCCGGGGGGUGUCUCUCUCUGGCUGUCCCCGUGGGUGUCCCUGCCCAAGUGUCCCCGGUGUGUAUGUGUAUGCGCACCUCUGGGCUGCUUCUGUGCGGGUGUCCCUGGGCAGUGUCUCUCUCCAGCUGUCCCUGCGACUGUCCCUGCAGGUGUCCCCAGGGGGUGUCUCUCUCCAGCUGUCCCUGCGACUGUCCCCGUAGGUGUACCCAGGGGGUGUCUCUCUCCGGCUGUCCCUGUGACUGUCCUCGCAGGUGUCCCCGGGGGUGUCUCUCUCCGGCUGUCCCUGCGGGUGUCCCCAGGCUGGCAGGCCAGCGGGGCCGGCUCAGACAGCACCCCGCACCCCCCCCGCGGGGGAUUAGGGGGCUCAGCCCGGCUCGGCCUAAUCCCGGGGAUUAUAAAGGCCGGGCCCAGCGGGGGGGGGCACCCAGGGGCGCACCCCGUGAGCACGCAGCAGGGGGCAGCCACGGAGGGCACCACCCUGGGGGGGCGAGCAGAGGCGCAGCAGGGCCGGGGCUGCACCCCCCAGGCACGGGGUCCCCCUCAGCCCCCUCGCUGCACCCACCGGCGCCACGCGGUGCAGCACCGGGACGGCUCGGCCCUAACGAAGCUCCCCCCCUCCAAGAAGGGCCGAGGCGGCGCGGCAGCUCCGAAGCA
rnacentral:lncRNA from 1 species